GGAAAAACAAGUUUGCUUUACCGUUGCCGUGUCAAUUGCCAAAUUCACUAAAUGCCGUCCCACCGAUAAAGCAGUCAUAUAAACACAACAUGAUCACUUUUGUUUACGGAAACCGAAUCACAUCGGCAUAACGUGGUCAUUUUAGCUUCACUGUCGUACUUUGAGUCGUUUGAGACAAUUUAAAUGCACUGCACCUUAUCUUGGAAACUGGACAGUGGCACAGUUCAGGAACUGAAUACAUGCAUUACGUAGAAUUCGCGUUCAUACCAUGUCACGCUAUGAAUAUAGCUGAAUAGCCUGGAAACGUCCAUCAGAAAAUUAAACUCUGUUACACAGUUGCCGAGAAGUAUUAAUAAUAAAUCGCCGC